rnacentral:snoRNA from 14 species
AGGCCGGUUCGAAGGCCCUUCAUUCAAUUGCUAUGAGUGGGCGUGGUUCAAAGACUGGCCGAGA